rnacentral:tRNA from 1 species
AAGGAUUUAAGUUAAAAUUUAAACUAUUAACCUUCAAAGUUAAAAAUAUAUUAUUGUUGUAAGCCUUA